rnacentral:rRNA from 1 species
CGCGGCAAGACGGAAAGACCCCGUGAACCUUUACUAUAGCUUGACACUGAACAUUGAGCCUUGAUGUGUAGGAUAGGUGGGAGGCUUUGAAGCGUGGACGCCAGUCUGCGUGGAGCCAACCUUGAAAUACCACCCUUUAAUGUUUGAUGUUCUAACGUGGACCCGUAAUCCGGGUUGCGGACAGUGUCUGGUGGGUAGUUUGACUGGGGCGGUCUCCUCCUAAAGAGUAACGGAGGAGCACGAAGGUUGGCUAAUCCUGGUCGGACAUCAGGAGGUUAGUGCAAUGGCAUAAGCCAGCUUGACUGCGAGCGUGACGGCGCGAGCAGGUGCGAAAGCAGGUCAUAGUGAUCCGGUGGUUCUGAAUGGAAGGGCCAUCGCUCAACGGAUAAAAGGUACUCCGGGGAUAACAGGCUGAUACCGCCCAAGAGUUCAUAUCGACGGCGGUGUUUGGCACCUCGAUGUCGGCUCAUCACAUCCUGGGGCUGAAGUAGGUCCCAAGGGUAUGGCUGUUCGCCAUUUAAAGUGGUACGCGAGCUGGGUUUAGAACGUCGUGAGACAGUUCGGUCCCUAUCUGCCGUGGGCGCUGGAGAACUGAGGGGGGCUGCUCCUAGUACGAGAGGACCGGAGUGGACGCAUCACUGGUGUUCGGGUUGUCAUGCCAAUGGCACUGCCCGGUAGCUAAAUGCGGAAGAGAUAAGUGCUGAAAGCAUCUAAGCACGAAACUUGCCCCGA